rnacentral:rRNA from 1 species
UACAGAGGGUGCAAGCAUUAAUCGGAGUUACUGGGCGUAAAGCGCACGCAGGCGGUCGAUUAAGUUUGGAGUGACAGUUGGUGGCUUAACUGCCAAAGUGCUUUGAAAACUGAUCGACUUGAGGGCUUCAGAGGGACACGGAAUUCCAGGUGUAGUGGUGAAAUACGUAGAUAUCUGGAGGAACACCGGUGGCGAAGGCGGCGAGCCUGGUCCUAUACUGACACUCAUACACGAAGCGUGGGAAGCAACAGGAUUAAAGAG